UGAGCAAUCUGCCCUUCUCUUCGGAAUAAGCGUUGGAAACGACGUCUAAUGCCGAAUACGACCUCCUUUCGCAUGAUCGGAGGUGGAAAGCUCCGGCGGUCAAGGAUGGGCUCGCGGCCUAUCAGCUUGUUGGUGAGGUAACGGCUCACCAAGGCUUCGACGGGUAGCCGGCCUGAGAGGGCGACCGGCCACACUGGGACUGAGAUACGGCCCAGACUCCUACGGGNGCAGCAGG
rnacentral:rRNA from 1 species